rnacentral:rRNA from 1 species
GACGAACGCUGGCGGCGUGCCUAAUACAUGCAAGUAGAACGCUGAAGAGAGGAGCUUACUCUUCUUGGAUGAGUUGCGAACGGGUGAGUAACGCGUAGGUAACCUGCCUUGUAGCGGGGGAUAACUAUUGGAAACGAUAGCUAAUACCGCAUAACAAUGGAUGACACAUGUCAUUUAUUUGAAAGGGGCAAUUGCUCCACUACAAGAUGGACCUGCGUUGUAUUAGCUAGUAGGUGAGGUAAUGGCUCACCUAGGCGACGAUACAUAGCCGACCUGAGAGGGUGAUCGGCCGCACUGGGACUGAGACACGGCCCAGACUCCUACGGGAGGCAGCAGUAGGGAAUCUUCGGCAAUGGGGGCAACCCUGACCGAGCAACGCCGCGUGAGUGAAGAAGGUUUUCGGAUCGUAAAGCUCUGUUGUAAGUCAAGAACGGGUGUGAGAGUGGAAAGUUCACACUGUGACGGUAGCUUACCAGAAAGGGACGGCUAACUACGUG